rnacentral:lncRNA from 1 species
AGCCGUCGUCCCUGCAGGGGAGGGUGCGCAAGCAAAUGCCCCUGUGUUGCUGAGCCCUUCUGCCAAGGGCAAAGGUCCCGUCGCAGCCGCGGGAAAAGAAGGACUUUGUGCUGCAGGCAGAGCCACCCAGAGCCAGGCUGUUCCCCCGCACCUGGCAAAGGGCAGGAGAGCCCGGACAGCAGCAGUUCCUCCGAUAGCGAGGAGGAGGACACGGCCAAGCAGUCCUCGAGGCCUGCAGGGGCACCCCAGAAACAGGGAGCGACGAAGGAGGCCGACAGCACCUCAUCGGAGUCCAACAAGGAAGAGCAGCAGCUUUCGCAGUCCCUUCUAAUAGGUUAUCGAGGUCUUUCUAAAGCUCCAGCAGCACCCCAAGUGCAAACACCCGCUUCCCUGACCUCCCCCAAACCAGGACGUAGAAAAGCAGCGGCUGCUGCCAGCACCCUCACCAAAUCCGGGAAAGCAGCCCUGCCUGACGUCUCGGAGAGUGACAGCAGUGACUCCGAUACGGAUGCUGAGAAGACGUCAGCCAAACAGACGGCAGAGAGCAAGUCGUCCUCUUCUGGGGAGGUAGCGGUCAUCACAAAAGUGGCCUCUAGCCAAGAGACUGCAGCAGGGAAAGCGGGCGAAAGAGGCGCCAGUCUCAAAGCCUCACGGGCAAAGAAAGCCCUGGUGGUGACUCAGAAUGCUGGUGGUCCUAAGGGCUCUCCAGGGACGCCGUCGCCGUAUGCUCUGCUUUCCAUCGCUCAGUCGGAGAGGGAGAGCUCCGCGAGUGACAGCGAAGACAGGGUUACUACUGCUGCCAAGGCUCCGGGCGGGCAAGCGCCAGGGGAGCUGGAGGGGGGGAAGAACACCCCCGCAGCAUCAGCCAAGGCUCUGAAAGCAACGAAAGCACCAAAGCUUGGGGACAAAGAGAACAAGAAGCAGAAAUCCUCCGUGAAAAGGAAGCUGGCAGCAGGGGAUGCCAGCCCCGUGGAGCCCAAGCCGAAGAAGCUGAAAAGUGGCCUCGAGACUCCCCAAAAGAAGAAAAGCAAAGGGGAGAGAGCAGCGGGCAGCAAGGAGAAGAAGAAGAAAGCCAGUGAAAAGAGGAAGACUGUGAAAGACAAGAAGAAGAAAAGCAAGAAGGCUGCAGCUGGAGUGGAGCCAAGCACGGACGGGUCUGCUUCCACCCCCCAAAAAAAGAAAAAGAAGAAGAAGAAGAAGAAGAAAGCUGCUGAGCUCGAGGGAUCCUUGUGA